rnacentral:rRNA from 1 species
UACCAGCUCUCCGAGUGGUGUGGAUGUUUAUUGGGCCUAAAGCAUCCGUAGCUGGCUGGACAAGUCCCCUGUUAAAUCCACCGAUUUAAUCGUUGGUCUGCGGGGGAUACUGUUCGGCUAGGGGACGGGAGAGGCCGACGGUAUUUCCGGGGUAGGGGUGAAAUCCUAUAAUCCCGGGAGGACCACCAGUGGCGAAGGCUAUUGACUAGAACGCGCUCGACGGUGAGGGACGAAUGCUGGGGGAGCGAACCGGAUUAGAUACCCGGGUAGUCCCAGCUGUAAACGAUGCAGGCUAGGUGUUUGGGCGGCCACGGGCCGCUCUAGUGCCGCAGGGAAGCUGUUAAGCCUGCCGCCUGGGGAGUACGGCCGUAAGGCUGAAACUUAAAGGAAUUGGCGGGGGAGCACCACAAGGGGUGAAGCUUGCGGUUU